rnacentral:rRNA from 1 species
GCCUACAUGAAGCUGGAGUUACUAGUAAUCGCAGAUCAGAAUGCUGCGGUGAAUGCGUUCCCGGGUCUUGUACACACCGCCCGUCACACCACGGGAGUUGGGGACGCCCGAAGCCGAUUAUCUAACCGUUUGGAAGAAGUCGUCGAAGGUGGAAUCAAUAACUGGGGUGAAGUCGUAACAAGGUAGCCGUAUCGGAAGGUGCGGCUGGAUCACCUCCUUUCUAAGGAGA